ensembl:lncRNA
AUGUUAAUUAAACAUUCAAGAUGCCUUUCCAGAAAAAAACCUGUUCUAGCUGUGGUGUCCUGUGCAUUGAAUGAAGACUUCUUAGGGGAAUUAAAAAUUGCUUUGAAGAGGAGCAGUAUUCUACUGGUAAAAAGCAGAAGGAAAAUAGAUUGCAUCAUCUCUAACCUUUGCAGUCAUAGGCUCAGUGAACAGAACAUCAAAACCAAAUGUAAGGAAAACAAGCCUCUGUGUUCAAUUUACCUAG